UACAGAGGAUGCAAGCGUUAUCCGGAAUGAUUGGGCGUAAAGCGUCUGUAGGUGGCUUUUUAAGUCCGCCGUCAAAUCCCAGGGCUCAACCCUGGACAGGCGGUGGAAACUACCAAGCUGGAGUACGGUAGGGGCAGAGGGAAUUUCCGGUGGAGCGGUGAAAUGCGUAGAUAUGUGGAGGAAUACCGAUGGCGAAGGCAGCCUCCUGGGCCAACACUGACGCUCAUGCACGAAAGCGUGGGGAGCAAACAGG
rnacentral:rRNA from 1 species